rnacentral:tRNA from 1 species
GGGGCUGUAGUGUAGCUUGGUAUCACCCGCGGUUCGGGGCCGCGUAACCGGAGUUCGAAUCUCCGCAGUCCCA